rnacentral:lncRNA from 1 species
GAAGUGAGCAAGGGAGGUCAUUCGCAAUUCUGUCACUCCUAAAUUUGUCUGAACCUUUUUGGAAGGCAUUUGUAUUUCCUGCCAGCACCACCUCUUGGGGGUGAUGAAUUCCAAUAAGUUUCAAUCCGUUUAUUACUCACUGUGAGAGAAAUUGCUUCCUUUUAUGUCUGGAACUAAACCUGGAUCACAUUUCACAGGAUAUCCCCUAGUCACAGAGUUUUGGAAUCUGACCUGGAGGCAAAGGUAUGGAUGAGAUCACAUAGCAAGGAGAUUGCUGCUGAGAAGGAGUCAAAGCCUGGGUUUUACUUGUGGCCUUGCUGCUACACCAACUUUACUGACAUGCCAUUCUGGGAUAGUCUUUUCUCUCUGAGGCUUCAAGAGAAGAUGAGAAUACAUUCCAUCCCUACCUCUUGGAGUCAUUGUGAGGACUCAGAUGAAGUGCAGCAUCACGCAACAGAACUCAGAUGCCCUCACUGCAUCUCAAAUGCACUCAGGCUGCCAUGCUGUGAGCUGCCCUAUGGAGAAGUCCACAUGGCAAGGAACUGAGGGAUACCUUCAGCCAACAGCCAAUGAGGAACUGAUGCUCCCAGAGAACAGCCUGUAGGAAACUAAUUCCUGCUAACAACCUUCAGAUGACUGCAGGUCUGGCUGGCAACUCAACUGAAGCCUGAGAGAGAUCCUGAAGCAGCGGGUGCAGCUAAGCCUCUGCUGGAUUCCCAUUAGACAGAAACUGCUACACCCUGCAAGGUCAUUAUCAUUAGCUGCACUUUACAGGAGAGGAAGCUGAGGCUCAGAGAAGCAAACUGCCCUCCUACUUAUGUUGAAGACUUUCCCAUCCUAUGAGCCCAGGUGGGAGAAGCUGAAAAUGGCAGAAGGUCACUUUUCCAGCUGCCCUGUGCCUGGUGAGCCUGUGACACAGACCCCGUUGCUCACAUAUCCACCCAGUUUGGUGCCAUAGGUGGUAGCACUUCAGGGCCAAGGAGUUUGAAGAAGUCCAAGGUAGAGCUUUCUGGAAAAUCCUCUGGAGAGGUUGAUCAGAAACCUUCUCCCACAUAAACAAAGGACCCAGGAAGAAGCUAAAAAUGGGCCAUGAGAUUGUCUUUAUUCAUCAAGCCUGAAGUUUUCUGACUCUAUCUUUCUUUUCCCGUGGCCACUGUUACCUCUCCAGAACAGACCCCAUCACCUGAAUUCUGCCUGAGCCUCGACAGAUAUGCUCAGCUGCUCUCCCAUGCUGGCUGUUGUUACCCCAACCCACUUAAAAUUCCUUGAGGUCUUAGAAGCUCUCUCCCACCAAGGUGCCGAAAGAAGUAUUUCACAGGUUCUCAGUGACAAUUGUUUAUUGAAAUUUACACUGAUGAGAAGUGGUCCCUAUUAAGGGAAUUCAAUCCAAGGAGAUUGGCUCUAUACUUUGAACCGCUGUGGCCAAAUAAAUAGAUGACUGCUUGCUGCAAUUAUAUUGCUGUGGUCUUUGUAUAAAUAGAUUACCAAGAAUAGGACUCCACACAUCUAUCACCUUGGAAAGCUGAUUUGUAUAAUCUGGACAGGUGGCAAGGAAACGUAACUGUCUGCUCAAGGGAGAGCCUGCCUGGGGCAGAGGAAGAGAGUCUGAGUAGCAUCCCAGUUAAGUGCUCAAGCCCUGAGGUCAGGCUGCCUGCAUUUGAAUCCUGAUUCUGCCACCAAUUUUCUAAGUGGCAUGGCAAUGUUCUUAAACUUCCCUUUGUGUCAUAGUAAGCAACCGAAAAAUGGUGCUGAGGAUAGAGAACUCCAAAAAUAGAAAUUAUUGCUAGAAGGUUCCCUUGCAGUGGAUAUCGGGGAUUCAAUCUGUUAGUAUCCAGAAACUAGUUUUUCUGUUACUUUUGUGAAACCACUCAAGAUCUCUGUUUAACAAGCCUCCCAAAGAUCUUUUUUCAAUAUGUUUAUAUGUCUUGGGGAUUACAGCACUUGUGGGUUUCAGCAGAACUCUUUUUGCAGAGGUCUGGUGGUGUAGGAAAAGGGCUGUAGACUAGGAUCUGGGAGACAGACAUGUCUAUGUUGAGACCUGCCUCUGGAGCACUGGCCACCCUCUCCAAGCUGCUGCAGUUCUCUGAGAUCCAACUGUCUCCCCUGUUACAUAAUCACCACAGUUAAAAUAUCAAAGUUUAUAUCAACCCCAAAAGUUACCUCCUGCUUCUUUGUAAUCUUUGCCUCCAUCCACCCUUAUUCCUAGGCAACCACUGAUCUGUUUUAUGUCAAUACAGAUCAUUUUGCAUUCUCUCUAAUUUCAUAUACAUUGCAUCAUACUUUAUGCACUCUUUUAUCUGGAUACUUUCACUUAACAUAAUUAUUUUCACAUGCAUUCAUGUUGUUGUGUGCAACAACAGUUUAUUAGUUUUCAUUGCUGAAUAGUAUUCCAUUGUGUGGAUAUACCACAUUUGUUUAGCCACUCAUCUGUGAAUAGACAUUCGGGUUGUUUCCAGUUACUUGGUUAUUUCAAAUAAAGCUGCU